GACGAACGCUGGCGGCGUGCUUAACACAUGCAAGUCGAGCGGUAAGGCCCUUUCGGGGGUACGACGAGCGGCGAACGGGUGAGUAACACGUGGGUGACCUGCCCUUAGCUCUGGGAGUAAGCCUGGGAAACGUAGGGUCGUAAUACCGGAUAUGACUCCAUAACGCAUGUUGUGGGGUGGAAAGCCUUGUGCGGCUAGGGAGUGGGCCCGCGGCCUAUCAGCUUGUU
rnacentral:rRNA from 1 species